CAAUUUUCUGCCACCGAAUACAUUAGCAUGGGAUAAUGGAAUAGGACCCUGUCCUCCUAUUUUCAGUUGGUUUUGGCAGCGCGAGGACUAGGGUAAUGAUUAAUAGGGAUAGUUGGGGGCAUUAAUAUUUAAUUGUCAGAGGUGAAAUUCUUGGAUUUAUGAAAGAUUAACUUCUGCGAAAGCAUCUGCCAAGGAUGUUUUCAUUAAUCAAGAACGAAAGUUAGGGGAUCGAAGACGAUCAGAUACCGUCGUAGUCUUAACCAUAAACGAUGCCGACCAGCGAUUAGGAGACGUUGAAUACAAAACACCACCAUCGGUGCGGUCGUCCUUGGCGUCGGUCUUUCGGGGCCGGCGCGGGGACGGCUUAGCCCGGUGGCACCGGUGAAUGACUCC
rnacentral:rRNA from 1 species